ensembl:lncRNA
UGAUUUCUUUUUCAGUUGUACCUGGUUUUUCUUUUGUUACUUUAAUCUGCUCAGUGCCAUUGAAAUCAGGCUGCAUUCAGUGCCACUGCCAUCGUUCUAACUGUUCUGGGGAAAAGCAGUGCCAUUGGUACCUACAGCUGAAGGAGACCUUUAUGAUAUCACUGUCAGUGUCAUCUGAAGACAUGUAUACAUGAAUCAAAAUCCCUUUGAGCUGACAUAUUAACCAAAACAGAAAUACCUGGAGAUUUGCUUUUAGUUUAUUGUUCUAAUUCCUCCUGUAAAGGAUAUGCCCUUUUCUAUAGGGAAUUAGGGGAGCCUUUUCAGCACCUUGUUUUACCAGUUUGGGAUUGUGUAAUGUUUCUUUAAAUUGGUACGAGUAUCUCAGAAAACAGUAGUGGGGUAUCUAAAAGGAAGCUCAGAAUGUUUGCAAGUUUUUGGCAUGAUAUUGCCUGAUUCAGAGUGGAUAUUCUUCAUAAAGCAAUAGAAAGACACUAUCCUCACUGUCCUCUUACAUGCCGUUGCUCACCUUGCUCGUACUAUAGCUACCGCUUUCUGAUCUGGCGUUCCUUUUACAUGAGACACUUCUAUUGAAGUUAAUGAAAAAUGUGGGUGUUCAAGGAAAGGAGUUCUAUUUUCAUGUUUUAGCAUAAAGAUGCAAAUUAGGCCCAGUAUUAAAAACCUAACAGAAAUGGAUGGAGCUGUAAAGCAGAGGUUGUACUGUAUAGAAGUAAUUUUUUCAGACACUUUGAAUAAAUGUUACAAAUAAUUUAGGAUCUUUAUUAUGCCUAGUGCUUACUGCAAAUCUGGCAAGAAGAUAGCCAGUGUUAUAGAAUAGCUUUUUAGUUAGCAGUCUCAGCUUCAGGUUUGAACUGAUUUUGGGAGUUUACUAGAGCACCUUUGAGGAUGUGGAGAUUUUGUGGGUUACAGGAUAAACUGGGAGCAUGCAUUCAUUAAGGCUCAGCUUUUCAGAAGGAAAAACUUGAUUUAGGAGUCUUAAGUGUGAGUUCAGGCCCCUAUCAAAGUCAGCUGAGAUCUAAAUCAUGUAGAGUGACUUUGAUCACCCUGAGUCAACACAGCCUGGUUGGCCCGCUGAGAUAACCUCUGCUCGCUGCUGGAAGAUCUGGCAAGAUAUGGGCUACUGUGGGAACUGUGUCUGCUCCCUGAAUUACAAACCUGAGUUUGGGUGUCACAGCUGGAACUGAAUUUCACUCCCGGAAAUUUCCAGAGGUGUGGACUUAUGAAAGGGUAACUCAGGGGACAUUUCCAAUUGGAAGCUUUGGAAUAGAAUUAAUACUUUCUACUGUAACAAAAUUAAAGCUGACUAUUCCUUCCAUGGCCAUGGAGUUUAGACUCUCUGCCUGGUAACUUCAAGUAUGGACUGCUCUGCCUAGCUGCCCCUGCUCCACUGGGGUCGUUUCUGUCAUAUUGCUCCUUGGGUGGGCUCCCACCUGGCCCAAGAAGCUGAAAGGAAGAGAAGCUUCCUAUACUGUGUCGUAUAUUUUGUUUCUGAGUGCUUUAAAUCUUCCCAAAUCCCUGUUUAAGGAUUUCAUCCAAAGGAAAUAGAAGGUCUUGUAUUUUACUCUGAAAUAACUUCUGGAAACAAGCCAGGCUGAAGUAAAUGGAAAAAUAAAUUAUUUUUAAAAAAAGGAAAUGAAAAGAAAAAGCAUUUACAAAAUCUAAUCUGUAAGUGGAUUUUGAGUCUGAACUGUUCUUAUGUGAAGUUAGCCAGGAAAGAGAAUAUGUAACUCUCAAGGGAGGUGAGUAAUGUCAGCAUGAGUCUGUAGUGUAGGGCCUACAAAAGAUAUUUACCUUGUUGCUUCUGCCUGAAAUACAGUGAUUUGUAUAAAAAUGGUAUUGAUGACAAGAAAGAUAA